UGUCUCAUAUUAGAAAAAAGUAAAUUUGUGGUGAGCCUAGUCUAUUCUGCUUACUGUUAGGAGACCCACAUAACAACAUUAAUAAUGGCACGUUAGUGAUUGAUUAAAAUGAAAGUAUCGUAUUCAAAUUGCUACAAUAAUAAUAAUAAUAAUAAAUAACACACAUUGAAUACCGGAUAAACUGCAUAUAAAAACACAAAAUUUAUUAUAGUACGUUUUGCGUCGGGUCAGUAUACGAGUAUUUAACAAAGCGAAACCUGUUCAAAUGUGAUCUGCGCAGUGACUUGCCAAGACUACAGGUGUAAAGUUGUUUUAACAACAUAAGUUCAAUAUUAAAGAGAUAAAAUUAUGUUUGCUCUACAAAAAUGUAUGCUAAGUAUACUGGUAAUCGUCUGUAUUCUUCUAUUGGUGGAGUCAGCAACCCGAGUAGUCGGCUCAGAUAAGUGUCCUGUAGGCCAAAUACUUGUAAAAAUAGGUGAUAUCCGAAAAUGCGUCCCACAAGCAACAAAAUCAUAACACAAGGACUAUAUAUUGUAUACAAUAACAGUGCAGAUAUUGUUAAUAUAGCCAAAAAGCAA